rnacentral:lncRNA from 1 species
CUUUGCAGCACGCUUCACUCACAGUGUGCACAGUGAUCUGAUCUCAGCUUGUUUGCUCUGAAGAUAAUCUUCUCCUGCAGGAGUGACAGCUGGAGAGACCCACUGAGAAGUGAACAAGGAAGAUGGAGGAGCACUGA